GAUGAACGCUGGCGGCGUGCCUAAUACAUGCAAGUCGAGCGAACAGACGAGAGUGCUUGCACUCUCUGACGUUAGCGGCGGCCGGGUGAGUAACACGUGGGUAACCUACCUAUAAGACUGGGAUAACUUCGGGAAACCGGAGCUAAUACCGGAUAAUAUUUAGCUUCGCAUGAAGCAAUAGUGAAAGACGGUUCUGCUGUCACUUAUAGAUGGACCCGCGGUGUAUUAGCUAGUUGGUGAGGUAACGGCUCACCAAGGCAACGAUACAUAGCCGACCUGAGAGGGUGAUCGGCCACACUGGGACUGAGACACGGCCCAGACUCCUACGGGAGGCAGCAGUAGGGAAUCUUCCGCAAUGGACGAAAGUCUGACGGAGCAGUGCCGCGUGAGUGAAGAAGGUUUUCGGAUCGUAAAACUCUGUUGUAAGGGAAGAACAAGUACGUUAGUAACUGAACGUACCUUGACGGUACCUUACCAGAAAGCCACGGCUAACUACGUG
rnacentral:rRNA from 1 species